UUCAUACUAUAAACUAUUGAAAAUCAAGUGCUAAACUGAUACUUUACUUUUAAAGUUGUUUAUUGAAUUAUCUUUUAACUCUUAUGAUUAGGUAUUGUUUUUUCGUCUUGGAUUUUUCCUUUUGUGCUGUUGGG
rnacentral:sRNA from 1 species